rnacentral:rRNA from 1 species
CCUACGGGCGGCAGCAGUGGGGAAUAUUGGGCAAUGGAGGAAACUCUGACCCAGCAACGCCGCGUGAAUGAUGAAGGUCUUCGGAUUGUAAAGUUCUUUUCUACGGGAAGAAGAAAGUGACGGUACCUUAGGAAUAAGCCUCGGCUAACUACGUGCCAGCAGUCGCGGUAAUACGUAGGAGGCGAGCGUUAUCCGGAAUGACUGGGCGUAAAGGGUGCGUAGGUGGUUUGGCAAGUUAGUAGGGUAACUCCAAGGCUCAACCUUGGAACUACUACUAAAACUGUUGGACUUGAGUGCAGGAGAGGCAACCGGAAUGCGUGGUGUAGCGGUGGAAUGCGUAGAUAUUAGGAGGAACACCAGUGGCGAAGGCGGGUUGCAAGAUUGUAACUGACGCUGAGGCACGAAAGCGUGGGGAGCGAACAGGAUUAGAUACCCUUGUAGUC